UUCCGGUUGAUCCUGCCGGACCCCACUGCUAUCGGGAUGGGACUAAGACAUGCUAGUCGAGCGUCUCUAAGCUAUGGAAGAGGCGCGGCACACAGCUCAGUAACACGUGGCUAACCUGCCCUUGGGACAAGGACAACCCCGGGAAACUGGGGCUAAUCCCUGAUAAGUGAGAACUCCUGGAAUGGAUUCUCGCUCAAAGGACGUUUAGACCAUGCUUCUAGGCGUCGCCCAAGGAGGGGGCCGCGACCGAUCAGGUUGUUGGUGAGGUAACGGCUCACCAAGCCUUUAACCGGUACGGGCCGUGAGAGCGGGAGCCCGGAGAUGGGCACUGAGACAAGGGCCCAGGCCCUACGGGGCGCAGCAGUCGCGAAAACUCCGCAAUACACGAAAGUGUGACGGGGCCAUCCCGAGUGCCAUCCGCUGAGGAUGGCUUUUCCCCAGUGUACAAAGCUGGGGGAAUAAGGAGAGGGCAAGCCUGGUGUCAGCCGCCGCGGUAAUACCAGCUCUCCGAGUGGUGGGGAUGUUUAUUGGGCCUAAAGCAUUCGUAGCCUGCUUGGCAAGUCCUCCGUUAAAUCCAACGAUUCAAUCGUUGGGCUGCGGGGGAUACUGUCCGGCUAGGGGGCGGGAGAGGCCGACGGUAUCCCCGGGGUAGGGGUGAAAUCCUAUAAUCCCGGGAGGACCACCAGUGGCGAAGGCUGUCGGCUAGAACGCGCUCGGCGGUGAGGGAUGAAAGCUGGGGGAGCGAACCGGAUUAGAUACCCGGGUAGUCCCAGCUGUAAACGAUGCAUCUAGGUGUUGGCGCGGCUACGUGCCGCUCCAGUGCCGCAAGGAAGCCGUUAAGCCUGCCGUCUGGGAAGUACGGCCGCAAGGCUGAAACUUAAAGGAAUGGCCGGGUGAGCAGCACAGGUGUGAAGCUUGCGGUUUAAUUGCACUCACGUCAAU
rnacentral:rRNA from 1 species